rnacentral:rRNA from 1 species
UACGUAGGGUGCAAGCGUUAAUCGGAAUUACUGGGCGUAAAGCGUGCGCAGGCGGUUUUGUAAGUCUGUCGUGAAAGCCCCGGGCUCAACCUGGGAAUUGCGGUGGAGACUGCAAGGCUUGAAUCUGGCAGAGGGGGGUGGAAUUCCAGGUGUAGCGGUGAAAUGCGUAGAUAUCUGGAGGAACACCGGUGGCGAAGGCGGCAUCCUGGACCGGUAUUGACGCUGAGGCGCGAAAGCCAGGGGAGCAAACGGG